GACGAACGCUGGCGGCGUGCUUAACACAUGCAAGUCGAACGGAAAGGCCCUGCUUUUGUGGGGUGCUCGAGUGGCGAACGGGUGAGUAACACGUGAGUAACCUGCCCUUGACUUUGGGAUAACUUCAGGAAACUGGGGCUAAUACCGGAUAGGAGCUCCUGCUGCAUGGUGGGGGUUGGAAAGUUUCGGCGGUUGGGGAUGGACUCGCGGCUUAUCAGCUUGUUGGUGGGGUAGUGGCUUACCAAGGCCUUGACGGGUAGCCGGACCGAGAGGGUGACCGGCCACAGUGGGACUGGGAUACGGCCCAGACUCCUACGGGAGGCAGAGGUGGGGAAGAUUGCACAAUGGGCGGAAGCCUGAUGCAGCAACGCCGCGUGCGGGAUGACGGCCUUCGGGUUGGAAACCGCUUUCGCCUGUGACGAAGCGUGAGUGACGGUAAUGGGUAAAGAAGCACCGGCUAACUACGUGC
rnacentral:rRNA from 1 species